GAGCCUUGUUAUCAUCUAAUUAGAGUCACAUUUCAGCCAAAGAGAAAGGCAGAUCUUCAGGCACGGCCUCGUGCGGUGCAAUGGGAAGGGCGCGGUGAUGCAAACCAGCUGCAGGCCGGGCCGUGGGGCACGGGGCAGGCCGGGCACUGGGCGCCACCUGCAGCCCUCUGAAGCCAUGGGUGCAAAGUGCUCCUGGGCGACUCUGGCGUGGCGGAGAGCUGUGGUGCGUUCCGUCACAAACAGUGCUGCUGUCCGGCCCCAGCAGCACAGGAGGUCAGUGUAGCAACGCAGCCCAAACCAAAAUAAACACCGCUUUGCACUGCCAGAAUGCCUUUAUCGCUCUGUGGGGGGAGAGGGAGACAUUUUGGGGCUGGGAGGGACUGCCAUUCCCCUCCACGAGCUGCGAUGGGCAGAAAUGGAGGAGGAGGAGGAGGAGGAGGAGGAGAAGGGCUGGGCUUCUUUUUUCCCAGAUCAGUGUAAUCCAAAUGCUUUCCAGAGCUGGGGGAAAGAGAGCGGGGUUUCUUUAAUCGAAAUGAAAACCAUCUCUGAUUUCCUUUUAAAGCACACUGAAACGUUUCAUUCGACCUGAUGCGAAGCGUUGCGUUUCAUUUUGAGUUUUAAUUAAUUUUGUGAUCCUUUCAUUAAGCUAAUUUCAAAGGAGAAAUGUUUCUCUUAAAACUGGAAGUCAGAACGUUUUGAAGAUCAUCUCUGCCUCCAAAACGCCGCUUUAAAGCAUCGGCUGCUCUGCUCUGUCUGGAAACCCAGGUUAAUCCCUGCCUUUGCAGAGUCUCCAAAUGCUUUGGGAGUUAAAACUAAAGAAAGGGCCUCGUUCCUCAGCGACUGCUGCCUGUGAUCCUGGGAUGAAAGGAGACCGUCUCACCUCAGCCCUCCCCGCUGCUGGAAGCACUCAGGUGCUGGGAGGCAGAGAGGCAGCCCCGGGUUGGCGCUGGGGUUCAGCACGGAGCACAGAGGGGCUUCCUGCUGCAGGGCUGAGUGUGUGCAGAGCGGGGUUUUGUUCCCACCUCUUGCUCGGCUGCUGUAUGCAUAGCGUGAGCACAAGCAGGGAGCUUUGGCUCCUGUCUGCAUCUGCACUGAGCACUGCUGGCACCGUGGGCACUCGAGACCCUGUGACGAUUUCCCAGUUUUUAUGCUUUUCACGCUUUGCUUUUUUCAGUCAAUUAAAGAAAACAAUGAGGGGUUUGAAGGUAUACAAAUGUUUACAUGAUACUGUGGCCAGUAAAUCCCACUCUGUGGUCCCACGGGUUUCCCUGAGCCAUCUGGGCACAUCUGAGCUCAAAGCAUUCCUAUAGGUAGAGGCGAAACAAAAUUGGAAGAAAAGCAUUACGAUUUCACCAGGCUGCACCGUGGCCUCAGGAGAUGGGUGCUUGGCUGCUGCUCUUCUGCUUUGUCUCGGCACCCAGAAAUCACUGACAUCAGUGCGAAGGGGCCUUCAGCCUUUGCUGAGACUUAAAUGACCUCGUGUGUCUGCUGGGGCACAGCACGACUGUAGCAUAAGGGCCCCCUGCCCCGUGCUGGCAGGCUCCACCAGAUCCAACCUCCAGCUCCACAGUGCCCAUAAUUCCCAGUUAAAAGGCUGUGGGUGAUGGCAAGAAGGUGCUGUGCUGUGCUGGGGAGGAGAGCUGGCUGACACUGAACCCAUUGGAUGAAGCAGGACUGCGUGGGACUCAAAUAAUUUUGGAACUUAGCAGCACCUUUGCUCCCAGAACGAAAACUGGCAAGAUGGUCAAGAUGCCACCGAGACAGCUGGGAAGUAAAUAACUUCUUUGCACAGCUGACCAGCGGCCUCUCCAAUGGCUGCAGAGCCUGCGCCGGUUGGGGACGCGCACGGAGCUGCACGGAUAAUGGCACCGGGUCGGCCCCUCAUCGAGUGGUGGAGGCACGGGGUGAGGCUGUGAGGGAUGCACAGAGCAGGGCUGAGAGAUGGAGGCACGGGGUGAGGCUCAGCUCCCGCGCAGAGCCGCUCUCUUCCACCACGAGUUUAAACCAAAAGGUUAAAAGCAUCUAAUUAUGCUGAUGCUUUCCCCCCUGGAUUAAACAAGAGGAUAAAUAGAGUACAGCGUGUUUCCUUGGGUUUGAUUUUGUCUCUGAACCAGGCGGAGGAUCCCUGGCAGCUGUCACGUUCUGUGUUUGAUGGUGUCAGCGCUGCUGUUCGGAGGUGUUCCUCUCGCUGCUGUCAGCAUUUUCCGGGGGAGGAUGAAUGCAUCCAUACAGUCUGUUUGCUGUCCACAUAUUCACAGUUCAUGUGUUACAUUUUACAUAAAGUAAACUUAGCAAGGGGAAAACUAAUUCUGCAAUUCUUCAAAGCUAAUGCAGAGUAAAUAUAUUCUGACACUGACAGGUAUUUCUUAUUAAACAGCUCUGAACGGCGGCACUAGGUUUUGCUUAAGUGGCAUUAUUCUCCCCGAGCAAAGACAGUUCAUUUAUUAGUCAUUCUGAAAACCAAAUAACAAAUAUUAUUCUCCAAGCAAACUAAACAAACCAUUUAAAAGGGGUCUGUCUGAAGUGAUUAAAGUACAGUGUCUGAAAAGCAGCUGACACUUCAGUGCCAAAAUGCCAUAUGGAGACUCAACCGCAUUAUUGGUGCGCACCGACCCGAGCUGCAAACCCCGCUGACACCUCGGGGCGGCCCUCCCGUGCACGGGGCGAAGCUUUCUGCCUCUCCUUAGGAUGUCAUUUUGGCAGCAC
rnacentral:lncRNA from 1 species